rnacentral:rRNA from 1 species
AACGAACGCUGGCGGCAGGCUUAACACAUGCAAGUCGAGCGCCCCGCCAGGGGAGCGGCAGACGGGUGAGUAACGCUUGGGAACAUACCCAACCCUACGGAAUAACCCAGGGAAACUUGGACUAAUACCGUAUACGCCCUUUUGGGGAAAGAUUUAUCGGGGAUGGAUUGGCCCGCGUUGGAUUAGCUAGUUGGUGGGGUAAAGGCCUACCAAGGCGACGAUCCAUAGCUGGUCUGAGAGGAUGAUCAGCCACAUUGGGACUGAGACACGGCCCAAACUCCUACGGGAGGCAGCAGUGGGGAAUAUUGGACAAUGGGCGCAAGCCUGAUCCAGCCAUGCCGCGUGAGUGAUGAAGGCCUUAGGGUUGUAAAGCUCUUUCACCGAUGAAGAUAAUGACGGUAGUCGGAGAAGAAGCCCCGGCUAACUUCGUG